rnacentral:rRNA from 1 species
AUUGAACGCUGGCGGCAGGCCUAACACAUGCAAGUCGAACGAGUGGCGGACGGGUGAGUAAUGUCUGGGAAACUGCCUGAUGGAGGGGGAUAACUACUGGAAACGGUAGCUAAUACCGCAUACCAUCGGAUGUGCACAGAUGGGAUUAGCUAGUAGGGGGGGUAACGGCUCACCUAGGGGACGAUCCCUAGCUGGUCUGAGAGGAUGACCCGCCACACUGGCACUGAGACACGGUCCAGACUCCUACGGGAGGCAGCAUUGGGGAAUAUUGCACAAUGGGCGCAAGCCUGAUGCAGCCAUGCCGCGUGUAUGAAGAAGGCCUUCGGGUUGUAAAGUACUUUCAGCGGGGAGGCGUUACCCGCAGAAGAAGCACCGGCUAACUCCGUGCCAGCAGCCGCGGUAAUUC